rnacentral:rRNA from 1 species
CCUACGGGAGGCAGCAGUGGGGAAUAUUGCGCAAUGGGCGAAAGCCUGACGCAGCGACGCCGCGUGAGGGAUGAAGGUUUUCGGAUCGUAAACCUCUGUCAGCAGGGAAGAAAGGUCACUGUGCUAAUCAGCAGUGAAUUGACGGUACCUGCAAAGGAAGCACCGGCUAACUUCGUGCCAGCAGCCGCGGUAAUACGGAGGGUGCGAGCGUUAAUCGGAUUUACUGGGCGUAAAGCGGUCGUAGGCGGUAUGGCAAGUCAAGGGGGAAAUCCCCGGGCUCAACGUGGGAACUGCCUUUGAAACUGGCAAACUGGAGUGAGUGAGAGGAUAGUGGAAUGCCAGGUGUAGUGGUGAAAUGCGUAGAUAUCGGGAGGAACAUAAGUGGCGAAGGCGGCUAUCUGGCACAUAACUGACGCUGAGGAGCGAAAGCGUGGGUAGCAAACAGGAUUAGAUACCCUAGUAGUC